rnacentral:tRNA from 1 species
UGGAUUAUAUUUAAUAAUAAUACUUGAAUUGCAAUCAAGAAGUGCUAAAAUAGCUAAUCUUA